rnacentral:rRNA from 1 species
UACAGAGGGGGCAAGCGUUGUUCGGAAUUACUGGGCGUAAAGGGCGCGUAGGCGGCCUGCUAAGUCGAACGUGAAAUCCCUGGGCUCAACCCAGGAACUGCGUCCGAUACUGGUUGGCUUGAAUCCGGGAGAGGGAUGUGGAAGUCCAGGUGUAGCGGUGAAAUGCGUAGAUAUCUGGAGGAACACCGGUGGCGAAGGCGGCAUCCUGGACCGGUAUUGACGCUGAGGCGCGAAAGCCAGGGGAGCAAACGGG